AAAAAAAUACUACAUAUGAGUAUUGAACCCACCCCACUCAAAACUAGAAUACUGUCCUUCCCCAACAGACCACUCAUGAUUAUCUGCUACUGUGAUGCUACGUUAAAUAUAUAAACCGGGAUAAAAAUGAAAUAAAAAAAGAUUAAGAUAAAAAAUAAAAAGAACAAUAAAAGAAAAUACUAACAUAUAAACAUUUUUAUGUUUUUUUUGUUUAUCUCUGUUAAAACAAAUUAAAUUAAAUUAAAUUAAAAAAGAAAAAAAAAAGAAAAAAAGAAAUGGGAACGAAGAAACAGACGCUCGUCUUCCUUCACCCUCUCCCCAACCUCACGAACUCACCCUUUCCACCCAACGACAUUCUCGUACGAACUCGCCUCUCUCGUCCCUCUUACGAAGUCGCUCGCAAUCAUCUCUCAAACCUUUCUCUCGACGUCUUUCUACCUCAAAAUCGCUC
rnacentral:lncRNA from 1 species